rnacentral:rRNA from 1 species
GGCGAACGCUGGCGGCGUGCCUAAUACAUGCAAGUCGAACGCUUUUUCUUUCACCGGAGCUUGCUCCACCGAAAGAAAAAGAGUGGCGAACGGGUGAGUAACACGUGGGUAACCUGCCCAUCAGAAGGGGAUAACACUUGGAAACAGGUGCUAAUACCGUAUAACACUAUUUUCCGCAUGGAAGAAAGUUGAAAGGCGCUUUUGCGUCACUGAUGGAUGGACCCGCGGUGCAUUAGCUAGUUGGUGAGGUAACGGCUCACCAAGGCAACGAUGCAUAGCCGACCUGAGAGGGUGAUCGGCCACACUGGGACUGAGACACGGCCCAGACUCCUACGGGAGGCAGCAGUAGGGAAUCUUCGGCAAUGGACGAAAGUCUGACCGAGCAACGCCGCAUGAGUGAAGAAGGUUUUCGGAUCGUAAAACUCUGUUGUUAGAGAAGAACAAGGAUGAGAGUAGAACGUUCAUCCCUUGACGGUAUCUAACCAGAAAGCCACGGCUAACUACGUGCCAGCAGCCGCCGUAA